UCGCGGGUCCAACCUCCCACCCGUGUCUCUUGAAUACCCUGUUGCUUUGGCGGGCCCACCGGGUCGGCCCGGUCGCCGGGGCACUGCGCCCCCGGCCUGCGCCCGCCAGAGCGCUCUGUGAACCCUAAUGAAGAUGGGCUGUCUGAGUGUGAUUUUGAAUUAUCAAAACUUUCAACAAUGGAUCUCUUGGUUCCGGCAUCGAUGAAGAACGCAGCGAAAUGCGAUAAGUAAUGUGAAUUGCAGAAUUCCGUGAAUCAUCGAAUCUUUGAACGCACAUUGCGCCCCCUGGCAUUCCGGGGGGCAUGCCUGUCCGAGCGUCAUUUCUGCCCUCAAGCGCGGCUUGUGUGUUGGGUGUGGUCCCCCCGGUGUUGGGGGACUCGCCCGAAAGGCAGCGGCGACGUCCCGUCUAGGUCCUCGAGCGUAUGGGGCUUUGUCACCCGCUCGGGAGGGGCCUGCGGGCGUUGGCCACCCACGAUAUUUUUUUACCGUUGACCUCGGAUCAGGUAGGAGUUACCCGCUGAACUUAAGCAUAUCAAUAAGCGG
rnacentral:rRNA from 1 species